AACAAAAAAUGACUUGACACAGUUGAUGUACAGUAGGUUUACGGACAAAGGUGUUUACACAUUAACUGCUUAGAUAUGUUUUAUGUUAAGGUUGUUGACACUUAUGUUGGUUGUCGUGCUUUAUUGAAUCGAACAUUUUUGGGGGGAUAUUGUGUUAGUUUACCAUUUAGUUAAAUCUUUCCCACCUAGAGAAUCGGAGUACUGCGCAUACGCCACUUUUUUAUCUGUAACGGUGGAUUGCAAAUGGACGGACACUGAGGCAAAGGAAUGCUCUAAGCCCCCAGUUCGUGAGGACUUAGAAAACACAAGAGAUGCUGUGUCCACCUGGACAGAAGCCUAUUCCAGUUCCACCUACACCACACCAGACUUCUCUGCCUGCAGAAACUAAAAUCAGCUAAACCUGUAGUAAGAACUAUAAAGAGAUGGACCAAUGAAGCGGAGCUGGAACUACAAGCCUGCUUUCACUGCACUGAUUGGAGUAUUUUUGAAGCUGCAGCCAC